GCUGGGAUAGCUCAGUUGGUGGAGCAUGACGCCCUUAAUCUCAGGGCUGUGGGUUCGAGCCCCACAUUAGGCA